rnacentral:rRNA from 1 species
GCGGUUCUAUGUCUUUACACACACACUGUAACAAAGUCUCAUGGAAUGCAUAUCGCGUUUAACGCAAUACAAUACAACUUUCAGCAACGGAUCUCUUGGCUCUCGCAUCGAUGAAGAACGCAGCGAAAUGCGAUAAGUAAUGUGAAUUGCAGAAUUCAGUGAAUCAUCGAAUCUUUGAACGCACCUUGCGCCCUUUGGCUAUUCCGAAGGGCAUGCCUGUUUGAGUAUCAUGAACACCUCAACUCUCAUGGUUUUUCCAUGAUGAGCUUGGACUUUGGGGGUCUUGCUGGCCUGUAGUCGGCUCCUCUUAAAUGAAUCAGCUUGCCAGUGUUUGGUGGCAUCGCAGGUGUGAUAACUAUCUACGCUUGUGGUUUUCCAUCAGGUAACCUUCAGUGAUGGAGGUUCGCUGGAGCUCAUAAAGGUCUCUCCUCAGUGAGGAGGGGGCUUCUUUGAAUGUUGAUCUCAAAUCAGGAGACACC